rnacentral:tRNA from 1 species
AGCCAAAUAGCUUAAGAAAGCAUUUUACUUUGAAAGUAAAAUAAAGGAGUUAGAUCCUCCUAUUGGCUU